AGAUAGUUGUUGUGCGCAUUUUAUCAGAUUCCUAUAGAUCCUGAAAUAUGGUGAAAUGGAUUAACGUUACUGCAGUAAAAACGAGUUGGCAACAAACAGAAGAUGGAUUUGGAUUGUGUAGUCACCGCUGUGACCAUGUCAGCGUUAACUCCGCCAAGAAGAGGGAAUGCCCAUCCACCUGAUGGCCGUCAGCUACGACGACGCAGACUUCCCAGUGUGAUCUGAUGCUGAGGUAGAGCUGGUGUCUACUUUGCUGAUCAACACACUGGCAGCUCUGAGACACAACAGAUUUCCUGGAGAGUCAGAACUAAACGUGGAGAGGCAGCGCUCAGUUUUUAUGCUCCACCUUUCUGGAACAAACUAGCAGAAAAAUGCAGGUCUGAUGCUCUCGACUCUUUUAAAUCAAGACUGAAGACUUUUCUGUUUGCCACUGCCUUCCAGUAAUACUGCACUGUAACUUCUAUUCCUUUGAUAUAUAUAUAUAUUUUUUUUUAAGAUAUUUUUUCUGCUCGUUCGCAAUUUUAAAAUUUUAUAUUUGAAUGUCAUUUGAUAAAUGUCUCUUUCAAAUGUUUUUAAUGUUCUGUGUAAAGCACUUUGAAUUGCCUUGUUGUUGAAUGGUAC